ensembl:lncRNA
CCCCACUCCAGCACAGUAGAUGGCGCUGUGAAUCUAGAACAUUAGGUAGUUUGACACCCGUCAGAAAACGCAUAAAAGAAGAAGAAACGCGGAAGAACGUGAACUCCGAAGAUUAAAAGAAAAGAAGAAAAAUAACAACAACAACAACAACAUGAACCCGGUAACAAAACUCACGGUGGCCAGCCAGCGAAUGGGCCUUGCCCUCUCUGUUAAUUUUAAAAGAGUUAGUGGACCGGAGCACGAACCCAGUUAUCAGUGUCCUAAAGGAUGAGUAAUUCACUGCAGAUGCUGCAAGCAGAACUAACACGGAGAACUAUGGUCUGUUCACUUGAUCUCCUCUCUUGUGUAAUUAGUGCUUGAUAUUUUGGAUGUGUUUGGACAUGUAACUCAGGGCUCAACACGAGUGAUUUUGGUGGCUUCUGCUUCUUUUGGAGCGAGCUCAGCUCUUCUUGUUCUUACGACACACAGUGCUUUGGAGCUCAAGCAGAGUUGAAGCACGUUCAUCCACCCAGGAGCCAGAUGAAGGACACAGAGAUCUCCGUGGAUCCUCAGCACUUCAGAAACAGCCCGUUUCACACAAGCACAAGCUGGCCCAGUCUCUAGAGGAUCUGGAACCUGAACUCGCUGCCAGACCGAGACUGAGAUUCACUAAACAGGAGAAACUCACAGGACUCCAGGCUGCACACUUCAGUCUACAAAUAGACCGGACGGACACUACUGAGCGCACCGCGAGACGAGAAGCACACACCAGAGCUACCAGAGGACCAGAAGUUGUGUAGCAGUCAGCCAGCCACUCACAUUACCAACACAGUCUGGCGGGGAAACUCAAACUGCUGUGAUCCCGCUAUACCUUGCUUUUGUCUUUUGGAGCUUUAAUACAUCAAGGUAAGUUCAUUCUUCUUUUAAAAUCUCAACUAACAUGUAGGUUUCAUCUAGGGAUGCACCAAAUAAAGACGCAAAAAUCAUUACAACCGACGGUUAGAGACUGUUUAGUUCUGCAUCGCAUGUCUUCGAUGAGAAGAGGAGGGUGAUUAUUUCUGCUACUGUGCCCUUAAACCAGUAAAUAAACUGCAGAGUGUUGUUUUCUAAUUUCAGGCGAUCAAAAAUGGCUUGGCUAAAGCGGUGAACUGGAGAAGUGUAAAUGGGAAAACACCAAAUAAAAACAUUGUGAUUGGCAAGUGCAUUUUUAUUGCAAGUCUUUCUGGAAACCCCCCGCCCCCAUUCAGACUGGUGGUGUCUAAAUGUAUUGUAACUCUGUAUGUGUAUGCUCCUAUUGUAGAGGCUGUCAGAAGAAAUCCUGUAUGUGCACACAACUGAGCUGAAGGUCGAAACAGUUCAUCUAGCUGGUGACCGUGAGGUGGCAGAAACAGAAGAACGACUUCACAAGAUGCUAAUGUAAACCAGACAACUUAUUGCUGAGAGACUGAAUCUUUUACAUUAAGUAUAUUUUACAGUACAUUUUUUGCACAUCUGUAAAUAUGAGUUGUAUUUCAUUUGUUGGUGUCUAUUUUAUCACAUAUGUGUUUUUAACAGUUUAAUUUGGUUUCUCUUGUAUUGUGA